UCUGGGUUAAGAAGCUGCCUAUCUUUAGUUAUAUUGAAACUAUCUUUAGAGAAGAAAACUCACACUGGUGGAAGAAGUCUCCGUUUUUUGUUUUUUUUUGAGACAGAGUCUCCCUCUGUCGCCCAGGCUGCAGUGCAAUGGCGCCAUCUCGGCUCGCUGCAAGCUCCGCCUCCUGGGUUCACGCCAUUCUUCCUCCUCAGCCUCUAGAGUAGCUGGGAUUACAGGCGCCCGCCACCACCCCCGGCUACUUUUUUUGUAUUUUUAGUAGAGACGGGGUUUCACCGUGUUAGCCAGGAUGGUCUCGAUCUCCUGACCUAGUGAUCCGCCCGCCUCGACCUCCCACAGUGCUGGGAUGCCCGCCUCGACCUCCCAAAGUGCUGGGAUUACAGGCGUGAGCCACUGCGCCUGGCCGAAGUCUCCAUUUUAUGGACGUUUCUUUCACUUUUCAUCUGGGAGGAGGAAGGGCUAAAUCAGGAGAGGCUUUUACCAUAGAGAAGGUAACAUUGUCAUGGCUCCUGGCACCUCUGGGAUCUAGCUGAAGAAGUGAGUGGCUUCCAUGAAUAUUCCUAUCUCUCUCUGUUCCAACACACCAGAUGUCGUGACAAGAAACACCAAACCAGCAAUCUUAUUUUUAAAUUUUAAUAAAUAAGUGUAUCUAUUUAUGGGGUACAAUGUGAUAUGUUGAUACAUGUUUACAUUAUGGAAUAAUAAAAUCAGGCUAAGAUUUUCAUCACUUCAUAUACUUAUCAUUUCUUUGUGGUGAGAACAUUUAAAAUCUAUUCCUUCGGUAAUUCUGAAAUAUAUAAUACAUUAUAAUUAGCUGUAGCCAAUACAUUGUGCAAUAGAUCACCAGUACUUAUUCUUUGUGUGUAACUGAAGCUUUGUACCCUUUGACCAACAUCUCUCCUUUUCCUGUCCACCACCACACCCAGCUUCUGGUAACCACUAGUCUACUCUCUGCUUCUACAAAUUUGACUUGUUUUAGAUUCUACAUAUAAGUGAGAUCAUGCUCCAUUUGCCUUUCUGUGUCUAGAUUAUUUCACUUAGCCUAACGUCCUCUAGAUUUCUUCAUAUUCUCCCAGGU
rnacentral:lncRNA from 1 species